rnacentral:rRNA from 1 species
UACGUAGGGUGCAAGCGUUGUCCGGAAUUAUUGGGCGUAAAGAGCUCGUAGGCGGUCUGUCGCGUCGAAUGUGAAAAAUCCGGGGCUCAACCCCGGACCUGCAUUCGAUACGGGCAGACUAGAGUUCGGUAGGGGAGUCUGGAAUUCCUGGUGUAGCGGUGAAAUGCGCAGAUAUCAGGAGGAACACCGGUGGCGAAGGCGGGACUCUGGGCCGAUACUGACGCUGAGGAGCGAAAGCGUGGGGAGCAAACAGG